ACUCCUACGGGAGGCAGCAGUGGGGAAUUUUGCGCAAUGGGGGAAACCCUGACGCAGCAACGCCGCGUGGAGGAUGAAGUCCCUUGGGACGUAAACUCCUUUCGACCCGGACGAUAAUGACGGUACGGGUGGAAGAAGCACCGGCUAACUCUGUGCCAGCAGCCGCGGUAAUACAGAGGGUGCGAGCGUUGUUCGGAAUUAUUGGGCGUAAAGGGCGCGUAGGCGGUGCCACAAGUCACUUGUGAAAUCUCCGAGCUCAACUCGGAAAUUGCAUUGGAAACUACCCUGCUUGAGGGUCGGAGGGGGGACUGGAAUUCUCGGUGUAGCAGUGAAAUGCGUAGAUAUCGAGAGGAACACCAGUGGCGAAGGCGAGUCCCUGGACGACUCCUGACGCUGAGGCGCGAAAGCGUGGGGAGCAAACGGGAUUAGAUACCCCGGUAGUCCACGCUGUAAACGAUGACGACUAGGUGUGGGGUGGUUCAGUCCAUUCCGUGCCGCAGCUAACGCAUUAAGUCGUCCGCCUGGGGAGUACGGCCGCAAGGUUGAAACUUAAAGGAAUUGACG
rnacentral:rRNA from 1 species